GCGAACUCCGGGCCAGCAGGGGCGGUAAGACGGAGGGUGCAAGCGUGAAUCGGAAGUACUGGGCGUCAAGCGCACGCAGGCGGUUGGAUAAGUUAGAUGUGAAAGCCCCGGGCUCAACCUGGGAAUUGCAUUUAAGACUGUCCAGCUAGAGUCUUGUAGAGGGGGGUAGAAUUCCAGGUGUAGCGGUGAAAUGCGUAGAGAUCUGGAGGAAUACCGGUGGCGAAGGCGGCCCCCUGGACAAAGACUGACGCUCAGGUGCGAAAGCGUGGGGAGCAAACAGGAUUAGAUACCCCAGUAGUC
rnacentral:rRNA from 1 species